rnacentral:lncRNA from 1 species
GAAGCUGGUGUUCCAAGAAGCUAGAAUGACAGACUCAUUUCUCGCUCCUUUCUCCUUCCCUCUUGAAGGAGAAGCCUUGAGUUGUGCAUCUUCUCUUGAUUUUACUGAGAGGAAAAAGAUGUGAAGAGGCAUUCUGUCUUGGCACUGAGCUGUGCUAACUUGGGGGAGAGGCUGAUGCAGGACCAAUGACCUUCUAAGAAGAGGAAGACACACCAGGCAUGCACACGCACAGAAAAGAAGACCAUGUGAGGGCACAGCAAGAAGAUGGCCAUCUGCAAACUAAGAGGAGAGGCCUCAUUAGAACCUAACCCUGCACCAUGAUCAUGGACUUCCAGCCUUCAGAGUUAGGAAAAUAAAAUUCUGUUGUUUAUGCCACCAAAUCUGUGGUAUUCGCUUAUGAAAACCAUAGAAAAUUAUACAAUACCCAACAAGCAAAUAGCAGAAUGGAAUUAAACCCAUAAAGGAUGGCUUCAAAGGCAAUGCUUAACCACUAUACUGCCUUUAAAAAUUGUCCUAACAGUUCAACUUCAAUUACAGAAAGUUUAUAAUAAUUAGAUGUUAAUACUUUUAUGCUUAACUUUAUAUUUCUAUUUCAAAUGCUUAUUUCCUUUUCAAUAGUUAAUAUUUUCUGGACAGCAAUUCUGGACUAUUUUCUAAAUUCUCUGUUUUCUAAAUUCUUAUGUCAUGCCCUCUGUCAUAAGAAUGUUUAUACCCUAUGAUCUUCUAAAAAUAAAUCCUUAAAAGAUGA